rnacentral:misc_RNA from 1 species
GAUGAAGAACGUAGUGAAAUGCGAUAAGUAAUGUGAAUUGCAGAAUUCAGUGAAUCAUCGAAUCUUUGAACGCAUCUUGCGCUCCUUGGUAUUCUGAGGAGCAUGCCUGUUUGAGUGUCAUUAAAUUCUCAACUACACUGACUUUGAAUUGGUGUGGCUUGGAUUUGGGUGGGAAAAUUGUUGUGGGCUUUUUGUAUAGUCUGCUCCCCUGAAAUUGAUUAGCGGUACCUUUGUGGAACUGUCUACAGGUGUGAUAAUUAUCUACAUCUUAGACAUCUGCUGGAAUGCUGCUUUCUAAACCUUACUUGUAUUGACAAUCUUGACCUCAAAUCAGGUAGGACUACCCGCUGAACUUAAGCAUAUCAAUAAGCGGAGGA